CAAGGCAGGAUCAACAGCACAGAGGCCAGUGUAGGUGGAGCAGAAAGGCUGAUGGAAAGAGAGGGAAAGAGGCCAGAGAAGUAACAGGACCAGGUCACAGGACCUUGAAGGCCAUCAUAAGGACUUAUUUAUUUAUUUAUUUAUUUAUNNNNNNNNNNGCUUGUAAUCCCAGCACUUUGGGGAUCACUUAAGGCCAGGAGUUUGAGACAAGCCUGGCCAACAUGGCAAAAGCCAGUCUCUGAUAAAAAUACAAAAAUUAGCCAGGUGUGGUGGCACCAUCACAUAGCUAGGAGCUCAGAUUCAUCCACACCCUUUUCACUCCUAGAAUGUUUAACUUUUGUUCUGUCUUCUCUGGUCAUGAAGCCACUCUGCUGAGCAUUCUUUUCUCAUCUUGUUUUGAUACUAUUCUUCCUUUUCUUUUAGCCAGCAGCCUGCAAGCCAUAGUCAUCUGCAUUGCAGUCUAACCAGUAGGUUAUGAAAAAAGAAAAAACACACAUAAUAGCAAGUUAAGUGGAUUCUAACAUUUAGAGGAAUCUAUAAUGAUUAGAAAGCCCCUUAUUAUGUCACUUCUCUAUCUUCACAUGGAGUCAUUAGCAUUCUUGGCCACCGCAAAGCAUGAGCAGAAACUCAGUGAAACUCCUGCUGCUUGACAGAGGGAGGAAUGCUUCAUCCCAGAUAUUCAUACUAUACCAAAGGAUGGAAUGGAGACUUCUGGAUUCCUACCUCCGAGAUCCAGUACGACAUAAGCCAUUUGGGGCGGGGCCUGGAUCCCUAAGGACAAGAAGCUUUUAAGCCAAGCAGAAAACAAACAAAACAAAACACAACAACACAGACAUUAAAGACUAUAUUUUCUGGUAGGGUGGGGCAUAAUGCCACUUGUUAAAAGAUAAUUGCUGUGUUGUAAAACGUCAGCUAGGCACUUCUGAAGAACAGACCCCUUAAUCUGAAGAGACCAGGCGUGGUUCUCUAAAUGUGGAAACAUUUUCAAAAAAAUCAACAAAAGAACAUCUCUCUGGCUGCUUGGGGUUGCUUUCUCAAAGGCAGACUAUGAUUCUGGCAAGAUAAUGAGACUUAGAGUUUUAGGGCCCCGGAUGCUGUAUAUACAUACCACCAUUAAAGCUACUGCUUCUUCUGCUAAUAAUAUUAAUAGUAACAAUAGUUACUCUAAAGAGAUAAGAAAAACCCAAAGUGUUUUUUUCCUAUUCACAUUCACCACUCAACACAACACUUCUGAUAUUAGAUGUGUGGAGUUUUUUUUGGGGGAAAAAUUCAUCAACCAAGCAAUUUUGCAUAGACUCCAAGUGGGUGUCUUCUAAUUCAAGUCAAUUUUGACACUAUAUACCCAGAUACACCAUCAAAUCCCACAAGCGUGGGCUCAGUCAGUCCCACAAGAUUGAUCCCCACUUCAGAUUCCAGUCACACAUAGUAGGUUUUCACCUAUAUUUCUGACCCACCAGCUAUAAGUUGGGGGUUCGUUCCCAUGACCCCCUUCUCAGGCUUGGUUAAUUUGCUAGAGCAACUCUCAGAACUCAGGGAAACAUUUGACUUAUGUUUACACAUUUGUUAUAAAAGCUAUUAGAAAGGAUACAGGUGAGCAACCAGAUGGAAGGGAUGCACAGGGAGAGGUCUAGGAGAAGGAACAUGGCUCUCCCAUCCCCUCUCUGGGUGCUACCCUCUAGGCACCUCCAUGUGUCCAGGUAUCUGGGCAGCUGAACCAUAGUUCAGGGAUUUUUAUGGAGGCUUCACCACACAGGCAUGAUCGACUAUUAAGUCCAUUUCUAGCCCCUUGCCUCCCUCUGGAGAAUGGGAAUGGAGGCUGUAAGCCCCAAACUUCUAAUCCUGGCUUGGGCUUUCUGUUGAACAGCCCCCAUCCAGGAGCCCAGAAAUAGUACCCUCAUUAGAAAGAAAAUACUCCUAUCACCCAGAAAACACCAAGGGAUUUAAGAACUCUGUGUCAGGAACUGGGAUCAAAGACAAAAUACUAGAACAAAAGAUUGUCCUAACACCGCUAUUGCUUAGGAAAUUAUAAGAGUUUUAGAAGUGCUAUGCCAGGAACUAUAGUCAGAGACCAAAUAUCUAUUUCUUAUUAUAUUACAAUAUCAUAGCUAAUAUUUAUUGAGUGCUCACUAUAUGCUAAAGAGUGUGCUAAGCACUCUAGUAUAAAUGAUCUCACUUAGUCCUCAUAACAUUAUUAUGCUCACUUGAAGAGUGAUGAAACAAAAGCACAUAGGCUUAGAAACUUGCUCGGGCCACACAGCUCAUUCAUGGACACAAACCUAGGAUAUAUGAAAAUAGGCUUUGAUUUCCGCAGCCACACUAUGGUUUAUCUCUUUUGGUAAACUUUCAGUUAAUAGCUCCAUUUUUACUUCCCCAGAAACUUGUAACAAAUCUAUAUGUUGGGGAUAAGUUGGAGUGCCAUGGUGUCUUAUACACAUCCUCCAUCUUUAUUAGCCAACCGUGAACUUAGCACCAGCCCUGGGCAUCUCAGGCGUGUCCUCUGUCAAAGGGAGACUUCAUUCACCUGGGCAUUCCUUCAGUCUCUGGGGCAGGUUUUGGCUCCUUUCUCCAUUUGAAAUUAUUUGACUUGGUAUCCAAUUUUAAGUUUAAAGCUUUCUUUUCAUUGACUCUUUCAGAAAAGCCAUCAGAUCCCUUUGCAAAAGGAAAAACUUCUAGUGGCUCAACUGAGCAUACUUGGUUUCUUCCCAAUAGCAUGUUUAUGAGAGUGUCUUCCUGACAGCUUCAUGAUAAAUACUAUCAUCAAAUAGUAGCCAAGGACUAAGGUCCAAUUCAAACUCUACCCUUCCACCAACUGGCCCACAUGAGCAUAUGUUCCUGGUACAGCACUAACCUUAGAACAAUCAUUUGUCUAACCAUUUAUCUCUCUUUCCAUUCCCUGGCCAUAAGAGUGUGAGAAGUCAUGCUAUAUUUUUGGGAAAUGUUACAAAUAUAUUUAUUAGACUAAGGAAGUUCUUGAAUAAAGCCAUCACAACUUAUGUUGGAUGAAAAUGUAAGAGAACAUGUCAAAUAUGUCAAGUUCAAUACACUUUUAGUUUUGUUUUGUUUCAUUCAUUUUCCAGAUAAAUGAAAAUUUAGAAAUUUAUUACAUCAGAGCUACAAUUCAAGGGCCUGUGGAAGAUAACUUUUCCCACCAAUUGCUUAUUUCAAUCAAAUGUACAUGACCAUAACAUUAUACUUUAAAAGACAAAAGAAAAAAUAACUUAACUUCCUUGUACCAGUAUUUUUCAAUACGGGGUCAGUGCGGCAAAAUUCAUUGGGUAUCUGGCUAAGUGCCAAUUCCUGGUCUUAUUCCAGGCAUAUCAAAGCAGAAUUUCUGGAAUGGAGGCUUAGGAACCUUAGAUUUUGUUUCCCUUAGUUAAUCUUAUUGGCCAUUAUUCACUGCUCUAGCAUCUCCCCUCACGUUGCAGGCUCAGAGGAACUGCAUACAAAACUCAAGUGCCAGAAACAAUGGAAGCUGACCUGGUAUCAAUGCUUCUCCUAAAAUCUGGGCAGAUUUCUGCCCCACUCUAGGCCCUUCUGUCUUUCCAACACUUUCUGUAAAAUUCACAUAAGUCAGGAGAAUUUCGGAGUAGAUUAACUAUGACACAAAAGACUUCUAGGUGGCCAAACCUACCAUAGAAUAAAUGAUUUUAUGAAACAUUUUACGAAUGAUCUCAAACAGCCCUGCUGAUCCUCUCUAGGAAUGAAAAUGAAGGGAUGAUAAGAAUUUAACCAGUAGUCCUGAGAGAAACACUGCUGACAGAGAGACGCAGGGUGGAAGAGAGGUUAGAUAAAAUUUUAAAAACACCUGCCUGACUCUGUGGAAGGAACAGCAAGUCACUUCUAAUCCCUGGAGUUAUGCUGCCUCAUAGGGAAGUAGAGUUGGAUUUUAAAUGAGAAUUUUAUGAGACAUUCUUGAUCUCAAAUAUUCUAUACUAGGACCCCUUUAUUGUACCAAGGCCUAUUGGGUCAUGGGUACCAAUUAUUUAUUUAGAAAACAUCACCACAGUAAUUACAAGAGAUCCUUGAGCUCUUUGAUUUGUUUGGGCUUUGUUUUAGAGGCAUGCGAGGCGGGAACAGUAUUGUAAUUCCUUAAGUGAGAAAUCCUGCCUUUCUUCUAUGCAUCUAGUUUCCAAUCCCAUUGUAAGGAUGUGAAAUAAUCAAAAUCAACAGUACCUGUGAUUAGUCACUCAUUUAUCCUUGAAU
rnacentral:lncRNA from 1 species